AUGCUUCUAGUCCUUAUCUUAUUCCUGGGGAUACAUUUUUUCCCAGGAGAUGUCCAAGCACAGUCAGUUACCCAGCCUGAUGCCCAUGUUACUGUCUUUGAAGGAGACCCGGUGGCGCUCAGAUGCAACUAUUCCUACGGUGGAGCUCCUUACCUCUACUGGUACGUGCAGCAUCGUGGCCAAGGACUUCAGGUUCUCCUCAGGUACUUUUCAGGAGAUCCUGUGGUUCAUGGAGUGAAUGGCUUUGAGGCUGAGUUUCAGAAGAGUAAAUCUUCCUUCCACCUGAAGAAGACCUCUGUGCACCUGAGCGAUUUCGCUGUGUACUUCUGUGCUUUGAGUGCACAGUGUCUGAGGCUGCAGGGGGAACUGAACACAAACCUGUGA